AUGCACACACACACACACACACACACACACACACACACACACACCCUAUAUUUAGCCAGUUGCCAUAAUUCAUUUGAUCUAGUGCCCUCCUUCUCGGGGGAAAAGGCAUCAUGCUUAACUAAUAGAAUAAUAAAGUCAACAACCUUAUUGAAAUCUGCUGCACUGUCUCACUAUUUCAAUUAUUUAAGUAACACAAACAAUACAUAUUUUUGUGUGCAGAAUUAUUUUUAUACUCCCAGUGUUCCCUUUCACAGUAAUCAUUUCCCUUUGUCUCAUGAAUUUCUUAUACCAUGCACACACACACACACACACACACACCCUAUAUUUAGCCAGUUGCCAUAAUUCAUUUGAUCUAGUGCCCUCCUUCUCGGGGGGAAAGGCAUCAUGCUUAACUAAUAGAAUAAUAAAGUCAACAACCUUAUUGAAAUCUGCAGCACUGGAAUGUGCAACACAACAGCAAAAUGAAACACAUGGACACUUCCUAUUUGAACAGCCUGAGUCUGCCAAAUCUCCUAUUGGGCAAUUACCCCCCAGCUUGAAACAGUGAACGUUGAGGCACCAUAGCUCACCUACCCAUCCAACACUUUAUUUAUACAAUAGCUUUCUUGCAAACUGGGAUCUAUAUUGAAGAGGAACAGGCUAUCCUGCCUGAGACAGCAAAUCAAACCACUUUUUUUCUAGAAAUCACUCAUAAUAAGAGAUAUGUCGAGUGCUUCAUCAUCUUACUCUCAGGAGGUGCUAUCGAAACAACCAGAGUGCCAUUAUGGCAAGAAAUCACUCAACAGCCAACAAACCUAUUAGAAUGCAACAUGAAGUAGGAAAUUAUCUUCUAGUUCAGUGGUUCCCAACCCAUGGGUUGUGAUCCCAAACAGGGCCACAAAGGGUUUUCUCUGAAGUCACCGGGCAGUGGUAAACUAUGAAUUAUUUUUAAAGGGAAAACAAAAAAUCACAUAAUCCAAAAAUCACCAUACUUGCAUUUUGAGUUUUACUCUCCUUUGUUUCUACACAUCUCUGUGAGAACAGAUUUUCAAUGCUUUUGCCACUGA
rnacentral:lncRNA from 1 species